rnacentral:rRNA from 1 species
UACGAAGGGGGCUAGCGUUGUUCGGAAUUACUGGGCGUAAAGCGCGCGCAGGCGGUUCUUCAAGUCAGAGGUGAAAGCCCAGAGCUCAACUCUGGAACGGCCUUUGAGACUAGAGAACUUGGGUACGGGAGAGGUGAGUGGAAUUCCGAGUGUAGAGGUGAAAUUCGUAGAUAUUCGGAAGGACACCAGUGGCGAAGGCGGCUCACUGGCCCGUUACCGACGCUCAGGCGCGACAGCGUGGGGAGCAAACAGG